GAAAAGAAAAUUCACUACAGUGAUUAAAACCAAAAUACAGAUAUUGAUUUCAGAAAAAGGCAGAAUCGAUGAAACAAGCGGAAGACCCAUCAAUUCAGUCGUAAAUACAAGUAAUAAAAAUGCAGCCUUUCAUAAAAACAAACAACAUACAAACUUACACCGUGACCUGGUGACAAAGAUUGAACCCAAGGUCAAACUCACUAAACCCAGCAAACAGAGAACAAUCUAUCAGCGAACGAAACAUCAGAAAGAGAAGCAUGGACGAGACUAAACUCACUCUCUAGGGUUUAAUGGAGACACAUCUCUCUGGAAGCGUCUUUCAUUGAGGUUCGCUCAUCCUGUCUGUCCGUUCAUUAUUUUGAGUGUUCAACUUCGGUGCGGGUCACACGGUGGACGAAGUGAGUGAAAGUGACUACAAAAGUUGCACAUUGGGGAACUCAAUUUCUUCCGACAGUAGCGAAGCACAAGCAUAUCUCUCAAGACAGCUGAUUCUCACUACUUCAUUUGCGCUAUCCCCGGCCACUGUGCCGGCCGCAUGAAGCUCUCUGUGAACGUAGGUUCAGCGGCCUCUUCAGACGGUUGCGGUGAUAGUGGUGACAGUAACACCCCCAGAACUACACCUUCUCCAACCGUAGAGGGCAGGAAGGCUGCUCCUUCCGCUUAUGCCACUGCUAUGUUAAAGCCGUUCAAAGCUUUGGUUGUGACUUGUGUAGUUGCAUUAUUAUAUGCUUUGGCUCUUUCUUAGUUGUCUCUAAUUUCUUUUUAAUUUGGUUUGGCUCGUUUGAAAGUCCAGACUAGAGGUAGUGGUAUGAGCCCUAUUAUUAUUAUAUGCUUUUUGAUGUGAUUAAUUAUUGUUGCAUCUUGAUAUGUCUUAAAUCUCUGUGCAUCAGUAAAAACCCAAUAUUCGUCGGGUCGGACAUCUGGGGGGAGGGGGUGCGGAGGCCAUAGGCCCCUGCGGUAUGGUAUGCCUUUUCAGUUUAGGAAAUUUACUUUUUCUGGAUAAGUAUGUAUUUCUAUAGAAAAAAAAGAAAUCGGGUUUUGAAGCUACUAUAAAUACGGGUCUAAGGGUUUGUAAGAUUAUUGAUUCACAUAAUAAUAAAAAACCCUAAACGGAUAUUUGUCUCAAUUUGUUUUGAUCUUUCUUCAAAGUUGAUUCACAUUUGUUCACAACAAUUAUUCUAUGAUAUUUUCUUCUGUUUCACAUUUACAUUUUUUCACGAUUAUAUUUAUGUAUUGUUAGGAGCCUUUUACUGAAAACUACACCAAAACACAUAGCUUACUAGUUGUAAGACUAAUACAAUGCAAGGUUAUGAAAAUUCAAAUCGAAUUAUAAAAAUAUUUAAGCUAAGAAUGUCAAAAGCAAGGUUGGUCAAUGGUCAAUCGAUUAUUCAGUUCACAAAAUAAUUUGGUUGGAUUUUGGUUUUGAGUUUCUUGAAUUCUAAGAAUAGAUCCUAUAGUUUGCCAAAAUAAAAGAAAGAUCGUAUUUUUUACCAAAAAAAAAAAAAGAAAGAUCGUAUU